rnacentral:rRNA from 1 species
GACGAACGCUGGCGGCGUGCCUAAUACAUGCAAGUCGAACGCUUCUUUCCUCCCGAGUGCUUGCACUCAAUUGGAAAGAGGAGUGGCGGACGGGUGAGUAACACGUGGGUAACCUACCCAUCAGAGGGGGAUAACACUUGGAAACAGGUGCUAAUACCGCAUAACAGUUUAUGCCGCAUGGCAUAAGAGUGAAAGGCGCUUUCGGGUGUCGCUGAUGGAUGGACCCGCGGUGCAUUAGCUAGUUGGUGAGGUAACGGCUCACCAAGGCCACGAUGCAUAGCCGACCUGAGAGGGGGAUCGGCCACACUGGGACUGAGACACGGCCCAGACUCCUACGGGAGGCAGCAGUAGGGAAUCUUCGGCAAUGGACGAAAGUCUGACCGAGCAACGCCGCGUGAGUGAAGAAGGUUUUCGGAUCGUAAAACUCUGUUGUUAGAGAAGAACAAGGACGUUAGUAACUGAACGUCCCCGGACGGUAUCUAACCAGAAAGCCACGGCUAACUACGU